CAAGUCGAACGGUAACAGGAAGCAGCUUGCUGCUUCGCUGACGAGUGGCGGACGGGUGAGUAAUGUCUGGGAAACUGCCCGAUGGAGGGGGAUAACUACUGGAAACGGUAGCUAAUACCGCAUAACGUCGCAAGACCAAAGAGGGGGACCUUCGGGCCUCUUGCCAUCGGAUGUGCCCAGAUGGGAUUAGCUAGUAGGUGGGGUAACGGCUCACCUAGGCGACGAUCCCUAGCUGGUCUGAGAGGAUGACCAGCC
rnacentral:rRNA from 1 species